GAGUUUGAUCAUGGCUCAGGACGAACGCUGGCGGCGUGCUUAACACAUGCAAGUCGAACGAUGAAGCCCAGCUUGCUGGGUGGAUUAGUGGCGAACGGGUGAGUAACACGUGGGUGAUCUGCCCUGCACUCUGGGAUAAGCCUGGGAAACUGGGUCUAAUACCGGAUAUGACCUCUUGCUGCAUGGCGAGGGUGGAAAGUUUUUCGGUGCAGGAUGAGCCCGCGGCCUAUCAGCUUGUUGGUGGGGUAAUGGCCUACCAAGGCGACGACGGGUAGCCGGCCUGAGAGGGCGACCGGCCACACUGGGACUGAGACACGGCCCAGACUCCUACGGGAGGCAGCAGUGGGGAAUAUUGCACAAUGGGCGAAAGCCUGAUGCAGCGACGCCGCGUGAGGGAUGACGGCCUUCGGGUUGUAAACCUCUUUCAGCAGGGACGAAGCGAAAGUGACGGUACCUGCAGAAGAAGCACCGGCCAACUACGUG
rnacentral:rRNA from 1 species